rnacentral:lncRNA from 1 species
AUUGUUAUAUCAUAGUUCGUUUCUGUGUGUGUAACAUUUUAACGUUGUUUUUCCGUUGUGUCGUUUGUUUUCUCUUAUAUUUGAGUGUGAAUUCACAUUACUAUAAGACGUGUCACGGUACUUUUCUAUCCCAAAUUCAUGUAUUUGGUUUUGAUGUUAUAUUUGUUAUUCUCAUCGGAUUUUGUCUAAUGCUUAGUCCGUUUCUGUGUGUGUUACAUUUUAAUGUUGUGUCGUUGUUCUCCUCUUAUAUUCAAUGCGUUUCCCUCA